rnacentral:rRNA from 1 species
AGAGUUUGAUCCUGGCUCAGGACGAACGCUGGCGGCACGCUUAACACAUGCAAGUCGAACGAGAGAAGAGGAGCUUGCUUUUCUGAUCUAGUGGCGGACGGGUGAGUAACACGUGAGCAAUCUGCCUUUCAGAGGGGGAUACCGAUUGGAAACGAUCGUUAAUACCGCAUAACAUAAUUGAACCGCAUGAUUUGAUUAUCAAAGAUUUAUCGCUGAAAGAUGAGCUCGCGUCUGAUUAGCUAGUUGGUAAGGUAACGGCUUACCAAGGCGACGAUCAGUAGCCGGACUGAGAGGUUGAUCGGCCACAUUGGGACUGAGACACGGCCCAGACUCCUACGGGAGGCAGCAGUGGGGAAUAUUGCACAAUGGAGGAAACUCUGAUGCAGCGAUGCCGCGUGAGGGAAGAAGGUUUUAGGAUUGUAAACCUCUGUCUUCAGGGACGAAAAAAGACGGUACCUGAGGAGGAAGCUCCGGCUAACUACGUGCCAGCAGCCGCGGUAAUACGUAGGGAGCGAGCGUUGUCCGGAAUUACUGGGUGUAAAGGGAGCGUAGGCGGGAUCGCAAGUCAGAUGUGAAAACUAUGGGCUUAACCCAUAAACUGCAUUUGAAACUGUGGUUCUUGAGUGAAGUAGAGGUAAGCGGAAUUCCUAGUGUAGCGGUGAAAUGCGUAGAUAUUAGGAGGAACAUCAGUGGCGAAGGCGGCUUACUGGGCUUUAACUGACGCUGAGGCUCGAAAGCGUGGGGAGCAAACAGGAUUAGAUACCCUGGUAGUCCACGCCGUAAACGAUGAUUACUAGGUGUGGGGGGACUGACCCCUUCCGUGCCGCAGCAAACGCAAUAAGUAAUCCACCUGGGGAGUACGACCGCAAGGUUGAAACUCAAAGGAAUUGACGGGGGCCCGCACAAGCAGUGGAGUAUGUGGAUUAAUUCGAAGCAACGCGAAGAACCUUACCAGGUCUUGACAUCGUAUGCAUAGCUCAGAGAUGAGUGAAAUCUCUUCGGAGACAUAUAGACAGGUGGUGCAUGGUUGUCGUCAGCUCGUGUCGUGAGAUGUUGGGUUAAGUCCCGCAACGAGCGCAACCCUUACUGUUAGUUGCUACGCAAGAGCACUCUAGCAGGACUGCCGUUGACAAAACGGAGGAAGGUGGGGAUGACGUCAAAUCAUCAUGCCCCUUAUGACCUGGGCCUCACACGUACUACAAUGGCUGUCAACAGAGGGAAGCAAAGCCGCGAGGUGGAGCGAACCCCUAAAAGCAGUCUUAGUUCGGAUUGUAGGCUGCAACCCGCCAACAUGAAGUCGGAAUUGCUAGUAAUCGCAGAUCAGCAUGCUGCGGUGAAUACGUUCCCGGGCCUUGUACACACCGCCCGUCACGCCAUGGGAGUCGGUAACACCCGAAGCCUGUAGUCUAACCGCAAGGAGGACGCAGUCGAAGGUGGGAUUGAUGACUGGGGUGAAGUCGGAACAAGGUA